AGCACCACAACGGGUGGAGCUUGCGGUUUAAUUGGAUUCAACGCGGAAAUCUUACCGGACCGACAGCAAUAUGAAGGCCAGGCUGAAGACUUUGCCGGAUUAGCUGAGAGGUGGUGCAUGGCCGUCGUCAGUUCGUACUGUGAAGCAUCCUGUUAAGUCAGGCAAUGAGCGAGACCCACGCCCACGGUUGCCAGCGUACUCUCCGGAGUGACGGGUACACUGUGGGGACCGCCGCUGCUAAAGCGGAGGAAGGAAUGGGCAACGGUAGGUCAGUAUGCCCCGAAUAUCCCGGGCUACACGCGAGCUACAAUGGUUGGUACAAUGGGUAUCUACCCCGAAAGGGGACGGGAAUCUCCUAAAACCAAUCUUAGUUCGGAUUGAGGGCUGCAACUCGCCCUCAUGAAGCUGGAAUCCGUAGUAAUCGCGUUUCAACAGAACGCGGUGAAUACGUCCCUGCUCCUU
rnacentral:rRNA from 1 species